UAACAAGGAUUCCCCUAGUAACUGCGAGUGAAGCGGGAAGAGCUCAAAUUUAAAAUCUGGCGGUCUUCUGGCCGUCCGAGUUGUAGUCUGGAGAAGUGUUAUCCGCGUCGGACCGUGUACAAGUCUCCUGGAAUGGAGCGUCAUAGAGGGUGAGAAUCCCGUCCAUGACACGGACGCCCGAUGCUUUGUGAGGCACUCUCGAAGAGUCGAGUUGUUUGGGAAUGCAGCUCAAAAUGGGUGGUAAAUUCCAUCUAAAGCUAAAUAUUGGCGAGAGACCGAUAGCGAACAAGUACCGUGAGGGAAAGAUGAAAAGCACUUUGGAAAGAGAGUUAAACAGUAUGUGAAAUUGUUGAAAGGGAAACGCUUGAAGUUAGUCGCGUCCCGUGGAACUCAGCCUGGCUUCGGCCUGGUGUACUUUCUAUGUGGACGGGUCAACAUCAGUUUUGGGCGGUGGAAAAAGGCAAAGGGAAUGUAGCGCCCCUUCGGUGGCGUGUUAUAGCCCUUUGUUGAAUACACUGGCUGGGACUGAGGACUGCAGCACGCCCUUGUGGCCGGGGGUUCGCCCCACGUACCGUGCUUAGGAUGUUGGCAUAAUGGCUUUAAGCGACCCGUCUUGAAACACGGACCAAGGAGUCCAACAUGCUUGCGAGUGUUCGGGUGGAAAACCCUUGCGCGUAAUGAAAGUGAAAGUUGGGAACCUCCGCAAGGGGGUGCACCGACGCCCGGCCCUGACGUUCUCUGACGGUGCUGCGGUAGAGCAAGUAUGCUGGGACCCGAAAGAUGGUGAACUAUGCCUGAAUAGGGCGAAGCCAGAGGAAACUCUGGUGGAGGCUCGUAGCGAUUCUGACGUGCAAAUCGAUCGUCAAAUUUGGG
rnacentral:rRNA from 1 species